UGGCGGCGUGGAUUAGGCAUGCAAGUCGAGCGAGAUGAGUUUUGAAGCUUGCUUUAGNAACUCUGACAGCGGCGAAAGGGAGAGUAACGCGUAGUUACGUGCCCCGAGGUUCGGAAUAGCCACGGGAAACUGUGGGUAAUGCCGAAUAACAUCUCCGGAUCAAAGGUGUGAUUCCGCCUCGGGAGCGGACUGCGUCCUACUAGCUAGUUGGCGGGGUAAUGGCCCACCAAGGCAACGAUGGGUAGCGGGUGUGAGAGCAUGACCCGUCUCACUGGGACUGAGACACUGCCCAGACACCUACGGGUGGCUGCAGUCGAGAAUCUUCGGCAAUGAGCGCAAGCUUGACCGAGCGACGCCGCGUGCGGGAUGAAGGCCCUCGGGUUGUAAACCGC
rnacentral:rRNA from 1 species